rnacentral:rRNA from 1 species
CGCAAUGGGCGAAAGCCUGACGGAGCAAUACCGCGUGAGGGAUGACGGCCUAUGGGUUGUAAACCUCUUUUUUCAGGGAGGAAUAAAUGACGUGUACCUGAAGAAUAAGCAUCGGCUAACUCCGUGCCAGCAGCCGCGGUAAGACGGAGGAUGCAAGUGUUAUCCGGAAUCACUGGGCGUAAAGCGUCUGUAGGUCGUUCAAUAAGUCAACUGUUAAAUCUUGAGGCUCAACUUCAAAAUCGCAGUCGAAACUAUUAAACUAGAGUAUAGUAGGGGUAAAGGGAGUUUCCAGUGGAGCGGUGAAAUGCGUAGAGAUUGGAAAGAACACCAAUGGCGAAAGCACUUUACUGGGCUAUUACCGCCUCUCGAACGAAAGCUA